ensembl:lncRNA
AUUCCAUCUCUGCUGGUGUCUUUGUUCCUACUCUGGCUUGCUUGUGACCUGCUCUAGAGUGGAGAUUCUGUAUUUAUGCUGGGUUUCUGGGGCAUUGCUGUGUCUCCAUAGAUGCAGCCCAGCCUUCCAGUUCCUCCAUACCUCCUCUGAGAGAUUUGGAGUCUCCACGACAGUGCACACCAUCCCUCAGCCUGAGCUUGCUUCCACUGUGUAGAGAAUGACUGGGUCUCUCCGAGGAGUUGUGUCACUAUGGCCCGUGCCCCAUUCUUGUGCAUUUGGGGAGGAUUUACCUUUUCCUCAUCAGCGUAUGUAAGUCUGUUGCAUCCUAACUGCAUCCUUGCACCCUUUACAUAGUCCAUCAACAUUUUUAUGGACUUAUUUGCUUUUAAUUCUGGAGGUGGUUAAAUGUAAAUGACCUUUAAAGUUGUGACCCUGUUUUGCAGUUUGUGGUUUGGCAUGAAACCUAUCCCACUUUGGGCUCCUCUGUAGUCCAACCUUGAGCUGGAUGGAGCCUCAGUUACUCUGGAGGCUGGCUUGGUGUUGAUGCUGUCUGCCCAGAAGUGAGUCCCCUAUGGCAGGGUCCUCAGAGUUCUGUGUACCAGACCUCAGCCAAUGCAUGUGUCUUCCUUUCUGUCACUGCAGUCACAGCUGUCAUGCUCCUGAGUUGCCCUGAGUUGUGAACAGUUACAGGUUACAAAGAUGCUCCUUGUGUGCCUCUGUGUCCCGUGCACUGAACAGGCUGCUUUUCUAGCAUCAUGGAUGAAGCCAGCACGUGAGGUCCACACGCUUACCCAGGCGGCCAUCUCCUCGGUGUUGCUGUGAGGGUGAUUGAUUACCUGAUGAUGCUGAUGAAUGUUGUGGUGAAGAUUGCUGUUUCAGUUAUGAGUCCUCUUUCUUCUUGAGGCUAUUUUUUCCCCCGUUACUGGGGAUCAAACUCAGAACCUUGUGCUUACAAGGCAGGCACAGCACCACUGAGCUAAAUUCCCGGGCUCUUCUUGGCUAUUUUAAGUUUUAUUGCUAGAAAGAACCCCAGGUUGCCACCAUCUGUGUCACAAUUUAUGCUUGAUAAUUACAUUCUGUGUCUGUUGUGUCCUCCCCAAUAUAGGAGGUGAAGAGUGCCCGGAGACCACUGGAACAUGGGUGGCCUGUGGAGCAGACAGCUGGGUGGACACAGAGCCACAGGACAACCGGGCAUCACUGCAAAGACUCUGCCAUGUGUGGUGGAGAGAUGUGUUGAUGGCAGAGCCCCAGAGAGCCUUGGCCUGAGGUGGCACUAUCCCUCAGAUGGGAGUAAAGGGGGACACCACUUCCAGCUUGGUGAUGAAGGGCUUGGGUGUGCUCUUGGAGCAGGGAGGGGCAACUUCAGUGGCCCACAGCAGCCAGGCCCACCUCUCAACAUCUCUUUGAGCUGUGAGCUCAUCAGGAGGUGAACCAAUGUGUAGGUAGCACCUCUCCAUCCAAUCACCUCUCCAGGAAUCUCUUAAUUCAGUCCAGUUGGUGAUCAGGAUUCCUGUCACACACUGCAGGUUGUCGUCCCCAUGACAGUGCACCCAAGGCACACCAAGGAGAGAGCCUGGUCACAUCCCCAGGGACUUACAGGGAAGUGGUGGAUGGCAUGGAAAGGCAUUCUUGCAGCACAGAAUCGGAUCAGUUUUCAAAAGUCUUACACAGACAGUGGAAGGCAAAUAUGCUCUUUCUAAGUGCCUACUGCAGAGAACUCAGUCAAGGCUUGUGAGAGAAAGCAGUAAGAAUGAAU